rnacentral:lncRNA from 1 species
AGUACUGAUCCGUCAUCUGGAGGAACUCCGCGGCGCAUCGCAAAACGGCGACGUUGUGGACCGUUAUCUCGAAGUUGACGCCGUAACAGAAUUUCGCGGUUUUCUCGAAGAUUGAAGGGCCUCCUGGUAUGUCAGAGAGGUCGAUUCUGGUGAGUUCGCUCUCAUCUGAUUCCAAUAUCAGUUUUCUUAUGUAGUUGCUUUUUGCCACUAGCAUGAACUACACAAAACGUAUCCUUUUUCAGUCACAUGCAUGAACAAACAAUCACAUAUUAAUUAACAAUCAUUCACAAAAUUCACAAUACUAACCUUGUGCAGAGAGAAAGUUGUUUCUCCAACUUCCACUAUAACAUCAGUUGGUAUGUCUUGAGAGAAAACCCUGCAAAAAAUCCCAAGAAAUUGGUUAUUAUAUAGAUUGAUUAGAGAGUAUAAUAUGGUAAGCAAGUGCAUGCAUGGUGCAUGGGUUUGAAAAUGGAGUUAGUUGAGUGUGUUGAUGUGUACCAUUGCCCAGUUCUCUCCAUGGCAAGAGAGAGUCUGUUAUUGGGAGUUGCCAUGAACUUGUGUGGCUUGUUUUGGUUUUGGAAAUUGGACAGAAUUGAAACUAGGCAGGCAAAGAGAAUGGAAUUGUUGAUAUUGGGAUAAACAAUAGGUUCCAUGUUGGGGGCUAUUAUAAAGGGAUUUUGAACACUGUAGCAUUAUGAUUUAAUCUUCAUGGGAUGGACUUGAGAGUUGUUUGUGAUUUGUGGUCCAAGUUUGUGAUGUUAAUCGAUCCGCGGUAUCUUACUUUUGUUAUCUUUUCUGUGAUAAGGCGGUUCCUUUUUACAAGUCAUUUUCACCUGCGUGUUGUCCUUUUUAAUCUGCUUGCAAUAGUGCAGACAACAAGUUUUCCAUUGGCUCAAUUCCAACAACAAGAAUGAUGUGGCCUUAAUUUACAUGCAUG